rnacentral:lncRNA from 1 species
UUUCUUAUACCCUUUUUUUUCGAUUUUUUUUAUAAUGAUAAAUGGAUAAUAAUGAAGAACAAGAAUAUAGACAAUUUACCACAUUUCGGCCCUUUUUUUUUGGAAUAUGCUCUAAUUACCACUUGAUAUGCACUAACUUUUGAGAAUUAUGCAUUUCCUUCAAAAUUCCUGAAACAACUUUGUUAACUUUUGGAAUAUUAAUUCUUUUGUGACUCAGAG